rnacentral:lncRNA from 1 species
UUAGAGUGGAAUAGGAUUGACUUGUGGAGAGAAAAGGCCAAGGAAGCUUUUGCCAUGUUCGGCCACCGAAGGUAAUGUUCGGCCGCCGAAAGUUCUUUAAAUUCGGCUUCCGAAAGCUCAGGUUCGGCCGCCGAACAUUGCAUGGUUUUACAUGCGGUUAGGCUGCCGAAGCUGAGUCGGUUUGCCACCUAUAUAAAUGCCUCCAGUCGGUGAAAUGGAUAAGUAUAGCUUGUCUUUGCACUUCCAGAGGUAAGGC